rnacentral:tRNA from 1 species
AUUUAUAUAGUUUAACAUUAAAACCUUACACUUUCAUUGUAAUAAAAAAGAAUUUUCUUUUAUAAAUU